AAAAUAAGUAUUAUUUUUUUUUAAAGUAUUUUGAUAAGUCACUUUAGUUCCACAUACAGUAUAUUAGAAAGGAAAAAAUACAUAACUAAAUAUACAAUUUUCAAGGAUAAUAGCCUAAACAUAGUAUGAAAACAUUCAGACAGCAACAAGAAUUUAAGCAAAAAGCUACAUUAGCAAAGCAUGUUCUAAAGAGAAAACUCUCAAAAGGAAAAAAUAACCUGCUGAGGNNNNN
rnacentral:lncRNA from 1 species